rnacentral:misc_RNA from 1 species
UCCGGUUUGGCACCGGCAGUCUUCCUAGAGUCCCCGCCAUGACGCGCUGGCAACUAGGAACGAGGGUUGCGCUCGUUGCGGGACUUAACCCAACAUCUCACGACACGAGCUGACGACAGCCAUGCAGCACCUGUGACUGAGUCCCGAAGGAGGCCCACGGUUUCCCGCAGGUUUCCCAGCCAUGUCAAGCCCAGGUAAGGUUCUUCGCGUUGCGUCGAAUUAAACCACCUGCUCCACCGCUUGUGCGGGCCCCCGUCAAUUCCUUUGAGUUUCAGCCUUGCGGCCGUACUCCCCAGGCGGGGUACUUAAUGCGUUAGCGCCGGCACUCAGGGGGUCGCUCCCCCAAGCACCUAGUACCCAUCGUUUACGGCGUGGACUAC